rnacentral:lncRNA from 1 species
UCUUCCUCCAUUGUCGGUAUUGAAUUAAAAUCUCCUCUCUCUCUCUCUCACCGCACACUAUCCUUUUUAUCUCUGCUUCAAAUAAAACCCUAGAUGUAAUUCUAUAUUUCAGUUUCUUGAUUUCUUGAUUGUUGAUAAACCUCUCAGUCAAUCCUCUCAAUUCCUACACUAAACUAUCAUCUGAGAUAUGAGGUCUGAAACCCUAACGAUCGGAUUAUUGUAGAGAACGUGGUGGUUGUGGUUAGUUGUGGAUGAUGGAGGCGACGCUGGUGAUUAAGGUUCUUUCCCUUUUUUUCUUUCACCCUCUUCACAUUUACAAACCCUAAUACACAUAUACUACUUUACUACUUCUUUGGCACAUAUGAACUCUCACCGGCUUAAUUCAAUAUGUUGGUAGAAUCUGUGAAUGUUUGGGCAAAAAUUUAUGCUAUGAGUUACCACAAGUCACUUAACCAUCACAACUUUUAUUUCAAACAACAAGAUUCAAGGAGCUUGAGUACUAGAGAUGCACUAAUACUUCACAAGUUAUACCCAAGUUAUGGAUUGUAAGUUCCGUUCUUGUGUCUAUACGCAGCCUGCUGAUUUUUUCUACGAAAAACCACAAAAAAACGCAGGUUUUUUCAGCGAAAAACGCAACCAGCAACAGCGUCGCUGCAGGUUUGUUCGAUGAACGUUUUCGACGGACGAUGCAGCCUGCAGGUUUUUUUCAGCGAUUUGCAAGUUUUUUUGUCUGGUUUCGGCGAAAAACAACAGCAUGACAGCACAGGUCUGCAGAGAUUAUUAACUCCGUCCGGCUUUAGGCGAAUAUGGUGGCCGGUAGGAUGAACUGCCAGCUGAAGCGACAAAAGACAGCAGCCACAACUAGGUUUUUGUAUGUAAAACCUGAAUUUCUAGACAAGAAGAUGGUUUAUCCAAACUAAAUAGCGGAUACGUGUUUUUAAUGCUUUCUUUAUGACAAUGAGGAGACAAGGAGGAGUAUUGCUACGAUAGGCCAACCAUGAUUGUUUAGGUUUUUGUUCGACCAAAUUGAUCCUCCUAAAGUUCUUUGAGGUAAACCCUAAUAUAUGUGUAUUAGUAUGGUAUAUAUGUUGUUGAUUUUUGUGUAUGAUCUGAGUGUUGAGGAUGGUGAUUGAAUGGAUUUUGCAUGCUUACGUUUACUCUGUUGAGGAUAGUGAUCCGGCAUUAUCUGCUGAUGACUUUGCCGGGUAGGUUGCUAGUGUUUUUGGCUCUAUUGGGUAAAGUUUUCUUUUGCAUACUUUUAAUUUUUUUUAUAAAUGGAAGAAGUUUAAUAGAUAUGUAAAUUGUUGUUCCAUACUAGGUGUAGGUAUGUGCUUAUAGGCCAAAUUGCUAUGUUUUAUUUCAAACACGCUGAAUAAAGCAUUUAAUUGCAAAUGGAAAAUGAGACAUGUCUAAAUUUACUAGACUGUGUUUGGCAUGGUUUUAGUAAAUAACAAAACGUAUUUGCGGUUUAGAUUCGAUAUACCAUUUGAGGCGUUAAACCUUUUCAUUUUUUACAAAAUAAGGUUCGUAACAAGUGGCGGUGAGCAAAAUAUUGAAUAUUUGAAAUAAACAAAUUGAGAUGAGGUCUUAAUAGUUCAGCU